AUGCAUGCUUGCUUCCAUAGUAAAAUUGGAAGGAUACAGAGAAGAUUAGCAUGGCCCCAGCACAAGAAUGACACCCAAAUUCGUGAAGCUUUCCAUAUUAAA
ensembl:snRNA U6 U6 spliceosomal RNA